UACAGAGGGUGCAAGCGUUGUUCGGAAUUAUUGGGCGUAAAGCGCGUGUAGGCGGCCUGGCAAGUUGGGUGUGAAAGCCCUCGGCUUAACCGAGGAAGUGCGCCCAAAACUACGAGGCUUGAGUACCGGAGAGGGUGGCGGAAUUCCCGGUGUAGAGGUGAAAUGCGCAGAUAUCAGGAGGAACACCGGUGGCGAAGGCGAUCAUCUGGGGUUGUUCUGACACUGAGGAGCGAAAGCUAGGGGAGCAAACGGG
rnacentral:rRNA from 1 species